rnacentral:rRNA from 1 species
GACGAACGCUGGCGGCGUGCUUAACACAUGCAAGUCGAACGGAAAGGCCCUGCUUUUGUGGGGUGCUCGAGUGGCGAAAGGGUGAGUAACACGUGAGUAACCUGCCCUUGACUUUGGGAUAACUUCAGGAAACUGGGGCUAAUACCGGAUAGGAGCUCCUGCUGCAUGGUGGGGGUUGGAAAGUUUCGGCGGUUGGGGAUGGACUCGCGGCUUAUCAGCUUGUUGGUGGGGUAGUGGCUUACCAAGGCUUUGACGGGUAGCCGGCCUGAGAGGGUGACCGGCCACAUUGGGACUGAACUACGGCCCGGACUACUACGGGAGGCAGCGGUGGGGAGUAGUGCACAAGGGGAGGAGGCCUGAUGCGGCACCGCCGCGUGCGGGAUGCGGGCCUGCGGGUUGUAAACCACUUUCCCCUGUGACGAAGCGUGAGUGACGGUACUGGGUAAAGAAGCCCCGGCUAACUUCGUG